rnacentral:lncRNA from 13 species
AUGUUUUUAGGGGCCACAUCUCACCUACCUCAGCAUCCUGACCCUCUCAGUGCCUCCAUUGGGAUGUGGUGCACAGGAAUACCUAACACAAAGGUAAAGGAGUGGGAGACACACUGACAGUGCUAGGUAAAGUUGUGUGAUGACAUUGCUAUUUGUGCAGCUGUAAUUCAGGCUCAGCCCCCAUCUCAGCCUCAAGGAGGGGUUCUUUGGGGAUUUGCUUACAUUCCUGGAGAAUUGCUCAACAAUUUCUAGACAGUUCCCUUUGGACUUGAG